CCUACGGGGUGCAGCAGUGGGGAAUAUUGGGCAAUGGGCGCAAGCCUGACCCAGCAACGCCGCGUGAAGGAAGAAGGCUUUCGGGUUGUAAACUUCUUUUCUCAGGGACGAAGCAAGUGACGGUACCUGAGGAAUAAGCCACGGCGAACUACGUGCCAGCAGCCGCGGGAAUACGUAGGUGGCAAGCGUUAUCCGGAUUUACUGGGUGUAAGGGUCGUGUAGGCGGGGACGCAAGUCAGAGGUGAAAACCACGGGCGCAACCUGUGGCCUGCAUUUGAAACUGUGUUUCUUGAGUACUGGAGAGGCAGACGGAAUUCCUAGUGUAGCGGUGAAAUGCGUAGAUAUUAGGAGGAACACCAGUGGCGAAGGCGGUCGGCUGGACAGCAACUGACGCUGAGGCGCGAAAGCGUGGGGAGCAAACAGGAUUAGAUACCCGGGUAGUC
rnacentral:rRNA from 1 species